AGGUAGCGAAAUUCCUUGUCGGGUAAGUUCCGACCCGCACGAAAGGCGUAAUGAUUUGGGCACUGUCUCAACAACACACCCGGUGAAAUUGAAAUACCAGUGAAGAUGCUGGUUACCCGCGCCAGGACGGAAAGACCCCAUGGAGCUUUACUCCAGCCUGAUACUGGGAUUCGGUAUUGCAUGUACAGGAUAGGUGGGAGGCUAAGAACUCAUGGCGCCAGCCGUGAGGGAGCCGAUGUUGGGAUACCACCCCUGCAGUACUGGGUUUCUAACCUGCGCCCGUGACCCGGGCGGGGGACAAUGUCAGGCGGGGAGUUUGACUGGGGCGGUCGCCUCCGAAAGGGUAUCGGAGGCGCUCAAAGGUUCCCUCAGAAUGGUUGGAAACCAUUCGAAGAGUGCAAAGGCAGAAGGGAGCUUGACUGCGACACCGACGGGUGGAGCAGGUACGAAAGUAGGACUUAGUGAUCCGGUGGUAUAAAGUGGGAUUGCCAUCGCUCAACGGAUAAAAGCUACCCUGGGGAUAACAGGCUUAUCACUCCCAAGAGUUCACAUCGACGGAGUGGUUUGGCACCUCGAUGUCGGCUCAUCGCAUCCUGGAGCUGGAGCAGGUUCCAAGGGUUGGGCUGUUCGCCCAUUAAAGCGGUACGCGAGCUGGGUUCAGAACGUCGUGAGACAGUUCGGUCCCUAUCCGGCGCGGGCGCAGGAUAUCUGAGAGGAGCUGUCCUUAGUACGAGAGGACCGGGAUGGACCGUCCGCUGGUGGACCGGUUGUCAUGCCAAUGGCACGGCCGGGUAGCCAAGACGGGAAGGGAUAAACGCUGAAGGCAUCUAAGCGUGAAGCCCCCCUCAAGAUGAGAUAUCCAUACUCGAAAGAGUGAGAGACCCCUUAGAGACGAUGAGGUAGAUAGGGCAGAGAUGGAAGCACAGCGAUGUGUGGAGUUGACUGUUACUAAUCGGUCGAUAGCUUGACCUU
rnacentral:rRNA from 1 species